rnacentral:rRNA from 1 species
UGGGGAAUUUUGGACAAUGGGGGAAACCCUGAUCCAGCCAUGCCGCGUGGGUGAAGAAGGCCUUCGGGUUGUAAAGCCCUUUCGGUGGGGACGAAACGGUGCGUGCUAACACCACGCACUACUGACGGUACCCACAGAAGAAGCACCGGCUAACUACGUGCCAGCAGCCGCGGUAAUACGUAGGGUGCAGGCGUUAAUCGGAAUUACUGGGCGUAAAGCGUGCGCAGGCGGUUUGCUAAGACAGGUGUGAAAUCCCCGAGCUUAACUUGGGAACUGCGCUUGUAACUGGCAAGCUAGAGUGUGGCAGAGGGGGGUGGAAUUCCACGUGUAGCAGUGAAAUGCGUAGAGAUGUGGAGGAACACCGAUGGCGAAGGCAGCCCCCUGGGCUAACACUGACGCUCAUGCACGAAAGCGUGGGGAGCAAACAGG